rnacentral:rRNA from 1 species
UACAGAGGUCUCAAGCGUUGUUCGGAUUCAUUGGGCGUAAAGGGUGCGUAGGCGGCCUCUGCAAGUCGACUGUGAAAUCUCCGGGCUUAACCCGGAACGGUCAGCCGAUACUGCAGGGCUAGAGUGCAGAAGGGGCAACUGGAAUUCUCGGUGUAGCGGUGAAAUGCGUAGAUAUCGAGAGGAACACCUGCGGCGAAGGCGGGUUGCUGGGCUGACACUGACGCUGAGGCGCGAAAGCUAGGGGAGCGAACGGG